AACGAAGUUACACAGAGGAAGUUUUCGGAUGGAAUCAGUAUAACUUAGUGGCGGACGGGUGAGUAACGCGUGGGAAACCUGCCCUGUACCGGGGGAUAACACUUAGAAAUAGGUGCUAAUACCGCAUAAGCGCACGGAACCGCAUGGUUCCGUGUGAAAAACUCCGGUGGUGUGAGAUGGAUCCGCGUCUGAUUAGCCAGUUGGCGGGGUAACGGCCUACCAAAGCGACGAUCAGUAGCCGGCCUGAGAGGGUGAACGGCCACAUUGGGACUGAGACACGGCCCAAACUCC
rnacentral:rRNA from 1 species